CGGACAGGGGGGUUCCCCGCUUCUGGCGGGGCCUGUCCGACCGGCCGCGCAGACGCGUGGCCAGUGGUUGUCGCUCGGGAGUGAUCGCCG
rnacentral:sRNA from 12 species